GCCCCUGUGGCGCAGUGGUCAGCGCGCUCCGCGCCGAAUGGAGAGGUCACUGGUUCGAUCCCAGACAGGUGUG